GCCUCCCUCUUUCUUCGUGCUUAACACAUGCCAGUCGAACGGAAAGGCCCUGCUUUUGUGGGGUGCUCGAGUGGCGAACGGGUGAGUAACACGUGAGUAACCUGCCCUUGACUUUGGGAUAACUUCAGGAAACUGGGGCUAAUACCGGAUAGGAGCUCCUGCUGCAUGGUGGGGGUUGGAAAGUUUCGGCGGUUGGGGAUGGACUCGCGGCUUAUCAGCUUGUUGGUGGGGUAGUGGCUUACCAAGGCUUUGACGGGUAGCCGGCCUGAGAGGGUGACCGGCCACAUUGGGACUGAGAUACGGCCCAGACUCCUACGGGAGGCAGCAGUGGGGAAUAGUGCACAAUGGGCGGAAGCCUGAUGCAGCAACGCCGCGUGCGGGAUGACGGCCUUCGGGUGGUAAACCGCUUUCGCCUGUGACGAAGCGUGAGUGACGGUAAUGGGUAAAGAAGCACCGGCUAACUACGUG
rnacentral:rRNA from 1 species